GGAAAAGUGGCUCAGGGUAGAGUGCUUGCCUUGCAUGCAUGAGGCCCUGGGUUCAAUUCCUCAGCACCA
rfam:Dipodomys ordii contig_9898, whole genome shotgun sequence.